AUGGCGGCAGCAGCAAAGUCGUCGUUUUUGCUGGACGUGAAGCCAUGGGGCGAUGAAACCGACAUGGGCAAGCUGGAGGAAGCCGUACGAAGCGUCAACAUGGAAGGCUUGACCUGGGGUGCCUCCAGGCUGGCCCCGGUCGAAUACGGGGUGAAGAAGCUGCAGAUAGUGGUGACCCUCGUCAACGACCUCGUCUCCGUCGACGGCCUCAUCGAGGACCACCUCUGUGUUGCGCCGAUGGACGAGUACGUCCAGAGCUGCGACGUGGGCAUCAACCAAAUCUGUAAGCAAUCUCCUGCCUAG
rnacentral:rRNA from 1 species